rnacentral:rRNA from 1 species
UACGAAGGGGGCUAGCGUUGCUCGGAAUUACUGGGCGUAAAGCGCACGUAGGCGGCUUUCUAAGUCGGGGGUGAAAUCCUGGAGCUCAACUCCAGAACUGCCUUCGAUACUGGAGAGCUCGAGUCCGGGAGAGGUGAGUGGAACUGCGAGUGUAGAGGUGAAAUUCGUAGAUAUUCGCAAGAACACCAAUGGCGAAGGCAGCUUGCUGGGCCGACCCUGACGCUGAGGCACGAAAGCGUGGGGAGCGAACAGG